rnacentral:lncRNA from 10 species
GAAAACAGAGGAGCUGAAACUUCUAGGCACAUUCAGGCUAGGUCACAUCCUAUUUCAGGUGGUAGCUCCACCUUGAAAAGCAGGGGGCUGGAGAUUUUCUUGGUUAAAUUAGAGGCUGCAGACACCCGCAGCUGCUAGAGGCAGAGCUGGGAUUCAGGAAUGGGCUUGCUGACUCCAACAGUGAAGGUCUUCCCCUCCAAGAGACCCCACCCGUGGGGAAGGGUGACCCUCAAAUCUUGGACAUCAGGUCCAACUUUCGGCCCAGUUGACUUUUCCACAAAGGAAGGAUUUCAGGGCUCUGAGAAGUCCCAGAAUAUCUGCCCACAGCAAUCUAGCAUCAUCAGAACCCACCUUCACGUGUAGCCACCGUGUCUCCAUGUUCCUGGUAAUGCACGCUCCCAGGCUCAGAGUCUGGAACUGCUGAUGGAGGGGCGGGUUCUGGGCCCUGCAAAGAACCGAGGCUCCGCAGUCACAGUCUUCGAUUAGACAGAGCCCCUCCAGUUCUCAGACGAUUUCUUAGGCUACCCCGAAAAUAGAGAGAGGAAGGGACCUGCCCUUGAUCACACUGUCAGUAACACAAUCAGAACAGAAAUCUAGGGCUCUUGGCCUUCAAGCCUCUGUUCUUCGCUUAACACACGGCUGGCAGAGAUGGGGAGACCUGAGAGGGCCCUGAGGGUGAGGGCAUUUGCACUGGGUGCAGAGCGCCUUUGGAAGGCAGGGAAGUCCAGGAAGGUAAACACACACACACGUUGUAAAUAUGGCGAAAAUCAGAGAGGAGGAAAUGUCAGGGACUCCUCCAGCACGGAAAACAUCCUGAUAGUUUGGAGCGCCGGGAAGAGUGGGCACCUUGGAAUCUGCAAGGCAUUCUUUUGCGUUUCACCUGCAGUGGGGUGGGGUCUCUGGGGUCUGCCCUCCCUCCUACUCUACAUGCAUUACCCAUCUUAUAGCCGGGCCGUCCCUGCAAAAUUCCAGCUGCAUGGGGGAACCACACUUCUGACUUCAGAAUGAAACCAGUGUUUUGCACACAUUCAUUCCUCAGUCCCCUUGCUGGGACCCUUCUCUGUUAUGAAAGCAGAGAUCCCACCCGAAUAGGGUGACUUUGGGGCGAUGGAUUACCUUUGGCAGGUCCUGUGGGUCAGGAAUUUAGGGGUGCAGCGUGGGCCCACAGCAUACCCAGUAGCCAAGGAAGACCCUCCCCUACCCGAGGCUCAAGCAGGCGCCAGGCCCCAAACCCUCACUCCUCUCUGGUCUAAAUCCCCGCCGUAGGAUUUUAUUUUUCGGUGCUGAGGUGCUUUGCUGGAGGAGCUGCCAGGGGGAGCUGCGCGGGGCAGGCCCGGGGUACCAGAGGCCCUUGCUUUAGCGGCGGCCCUGCGUGUGCCAGAGGCUUGCAGAGUGAUCUGAGCACGCCAAGAGAUUGCUGUCAAGUAAGCUCCUCCACAAAUCUGCAGAAACCUCAAAGAUUACAGCGCUCGCACGGCAGGAGCGCAGCGGCUUCCCAUACGCCGGCAGACAAUGGGGCGGAGGAAGGAAGGGGACGGUGGCCUGGGGACCCCCGCGCCCGCAGCACGUGCACCGAGCCUGGAGCGCCCGCUUUACAGAUCUUGUCGCUCCACCCCUAAAACAAAGGCCCCGGGGCCCCAUCUGUGCCGGGCGCGGGGGAGGGCGCCGCACUUGCUGCCCGCCGCGUGCAAAGCGAGCCAGACAAAGGGCUCAGCCCUGCAGACGCGAGCAGUGGGGAAAUAAUUAAGCACUAAGGAAAUAUUGUAUGUGGAUUUGAGACCAACGGGAAACGCGCUCCCAAACAAUGCUCGUUGUUUGCACCGAGCCGCUUUUCUGCUAAGUUUCAUCAAGUAAUUUGCAUGCCAUUUCAAUAAAAUUAACGAAUUAUGGUCGAGUUUUUUGUUUUAUUGACCUAAAAUAAAAAUCUUCCUUUCCUUUAUUAUUGAAAUAAUUCGCCCCCCAUCCCCCCCGGCUCCCAUCCUCUGGGAAGGCUGCACAGCGCGCCAAGGAAAUCUGUCCUCCCAGCCAGACCCCAGCGGCCUUUCUGCUGCGCUCCACAGCUAACUCCCCGGAAACCCUGCGUUUAUUCUGGCUGCCCCCUUUGACUGUGGCAAUAAAUAGAACUUCAACCCUCUCACUUUCUUAUGCCUGCUUUUCUUACAGUGAAAGCACCAGAUUUCCGCGUAGGAGGGACUCGGGGGCAACGAUGCAAUUGGAAGUUCCAGGAACAAAGUCACUCACUGUCCUGUGGGUAGUCUCCGAGUCUCUGCGAGGACCCACUGCACGGCAGGAGCUAGUCUCAGACUGAGGUGAGUUCUCGGCAGCAGAAGGCACCACCGCACUCCCAAGGGCUAAAGGUUUACCCUGCACCUCUCCUACUGAAGCUUGCAGAGGGUUGGCAUGGCAGCCUUCUUCAUCAUAGGAGACUCUAAGACUGCUACUUUUGGCUCCUCUGGGUUGUGCAGCUUGAGUGGAAGAGCAGAUCCUCUCACAGCCUAGACCUCCUGGCCAGCCGUUUCUUGCCCUAGACUCCACUCCGAGUGGCAGUCUCCCAAGCUGUCUAAUAGGCGUAUGGGAGAAGUAUCAGCAAGUAUGCUACUUCUAAUGUCCCAGGUGGUGCACCCAGCACUGUGCCUCUUCCCUAGUGCAGCUGAAGGAAAGCUGCCACUGCCUGUGCCUUCCUUUACAAGGGUUGUCCUGGCAUGUGUCAGACCACUGGGUCCCCUAACAACCUUGCCAAUGUGCCAGUCCUCUGAAUGUUUCUGGGCUUUAGCCCCUGCCCUUGGCUUGCACGUGUCUUCUUCCUAGGACAUCCGGGGUGCUUGUGUCAUAUGCUGGUAGCAUAAUGUCAUCAACAGUGCACCAGUGUGCUGUGCAAACUAUCCCGAGACAGCCUGUAUGCAUGCAAAGUAUGCUCAAAAGUACCCAAGGCCGAGGCGUGGCAGCUCAUGCCUAUAAUUCCAGCACUUUGGGAGGCUGAGACUGGUGGAUCACUUAAGCCUAGGAGUUUGAGACUAGCCUGAGCAAAAUAGUGAGACCCUAUCUCAACUGAAAACAAAAAAAGAAAAAGAAAAAGAAAUUAGCUAGGUGUGGUGAUAUGCGCCUGUGGUCCCAGCUACUGGGAGGCUGAGGUGGGAGAAUUCAUUGAGCCCUGGAGGCUGAGGCUACAGUAAGCUGUGACUGCACUAUUGCACUCCAGCCUGGAUGACACAGCAAGACUCUGUCUCAAAAUAAAUAAAUUUAUUUAUUAAUACCACAUCAAUCGGUAUUUCCCGAUUUUCAUAAUUGAACUGUGGUUGUAUAAGAGAAUGCCCGUGGCCAGGCGCAGUAGUCCCUGCUACUUGGGGGUUGAGACAGGCGAAACCCCGUCUCCACUAAUAAUAUAAAAAUUAGCAGGUCAUGGUGGCACAUGCCUGUAAUUCCAGUACUCAGGAGGCUGAGGCAGGAGAAUCGCUUGAACCUGGGAGGUGGAGGUUGCAGUGAACCAAGUUUGUGCCACUGCACUCCAGCCUGGACAAUAGUGUGAGACUCCGUCUCAAAUAAAAAUAAAAAUAAAAGAAGUUGCCUGGCUUAGUUGUGCUUACUGGACUCAGAGCCCCACAUGGAGUCUGCUGACCUGUCUUGGGAUUGAAGGGUGAUAGGUGAGAAGGAUGGAGAAUUUGUAAAGGGCCGGCAGUCUCCCUGAUCUGUCUCUUCUAAUUUUGUAGUCGGACUCCUCCUAUUUGGUUCCUGGGCGACCUUCAGUUCUUGAAUUUUAGGGUUCCAAACAACAAGUGUUAAGUGAAGUUUGGGGCCUUUUAAAAGGUGUCAGUGCUUGAAAUUUGAG